GGUCCCGUAGCUCAGAUGGAUAGAGCAUUUGCCUUCUAAGCAAACGGUCACAGGUUCGAGUCCUGUCGGGAUCA
rnacentral:tRNA from 1 species